CUGCAAAAUCUUCCUUACUCCCGAAUCUAUAUUAUAUAGAAGAAUGGCCUCCUGUUUUAGUAUUUCCAAGUACAAGAGCGAGGGACGGGAACAGUUGUUUACAGGGACCACACCCUAUUCAAAAGACGUAGACAUUGCAUGCGACGCGCAAUUCAUCACAACUUAGCACAAUACACCCUCAGACAUACAGCAGUGCGCAUAAAGGUCAUUAUGUGUACUGUGAACGAUGUUACCAAACCCAACACCAACAUGACAAAUAUCAGUCCAGAGCGAUUGUUGUUUGAGACUCUACUGCUGGCAUAUUAUCUGCGGAUUAUACCGGCGGAAAUAACUAAAAUGUGGAAGGAUAGGUGUGAAGGCUGUGCUAUCGACCACCCCUCACAGAGAAGGCACUCCUGUUUGAUGUACUCAGUGAACGAUGCCAUUGAUAAUUACUUCGAUGCAGCCUUUGACUAGAUUCCACACGAGCGCAUUGUGAGGGACGCUCAAUGCUUUGUUGAACAACACGCCAGCAGUGUUUACCACGCAGUACACAUCAUUCGUUACACCAGUGUUGAAUGGCUAAUGGCUCAUUUCUUCAACGAAGAACGCCGAAGCCUGUUAGAGAUGAUGUUACGAGUGAUGUUAGUUCAAUGAUAUUUCAGUGUUGUUAACUGUAAAUCAAGAAACUAUGCUACAAAAUAAACAAACUAUACUACUACACAUAAUCAAGAAACGAUACUAGAGAAUAAAGAACACUUUAUUUCAUUUAAUACUUCUCUAACACCUUUAAUUUCUUCACGCCGGGAAUACCCGCAUUAGCUUUUCUUUUUAAAUAAAACUGUUUAUUCUUGUUUACAGCUGUCUGUGUUUGUUUUCUUUGUUUACCACUACCUUUCUGUGUCAAUACCAAGAGUUUCUGGGGUACAUUUAACUCUUUCAAUUUAUUAAUGAAAUGUUCAUAACCCACGGGUUGCUUUGUAGAAUCAGUGCCCAACACAGCAUAGCGUAUCACCAUUGGUAUAUUAGAUCCCACAUGAGCGUAUCCAUCUUUAUCAAGUAAUUCACCAUUAUCAUUCCAGUGUAAUGUGCCCUUUUCAAACUGAUCCUUAACAAAAAUCCACAAAGCCAUUAAUUUCCCGAUUAGUCUUGCACUGGGAACACCUUGUAGUAUAGCAGUUUGUAAACAUAGCAGUGAAUUGCUGUUUGACUGUUUUGAUAAGCUCGUAUAAUGUUUAUUAGAUGUAUCACCAUCAUUUGACAUGGUCUGUUUUUCUGACGACGAAGCAGUUUCAAUAGUACGGUCUUCACAUUCACUCUUAAUAGAUGUAGAAUCACUCAUCCGAGUCGGUGUGUUUCUCCUCUUCAAUAGAUUGUUGUAUGUCUCCCGGCUCAGUAGAACGUGCUUUUGCCAUUGUUCACCUGUAAUUCGGUAGUGUCGUUCCCUUUCAAGUAGUUUAAGAGCGCUUCAAUGCAACUAGGUAUUAUGAAAUGGUUAGAUCGUAACAGUCUGUGUUUCUCCUUUUUGUUAACUGAUCUAUCGACCAGUUAACGAAUGAUCACUCUGUAGCGAUACAAACGUUUUUGUACACUGUAGAAUGUUGUAGAUCACUUCAAUUAACGCCUUGAACUGUUCGGGUGAUGCGUGAUACAUGCAUCCUUGAGAAGUGUCAGAUAGCUCAAAUUGUCGUUAAUUAAGUCUGUCAUAAUUUACAACGUAAGCAGAUCUCCUUACUAUAAAAUAGUACGGACCACCCCAACAAUCUGGAAUGUCAACACCACUUGCAACAAAACGUUUAAGCGAGUCAAUAGCUUCAGAGUUGCUUUUAUACCACUGCGAACCCUCCGAUAAUACUCUCUCUGGUUUACCACGUGGGUACUCCACAAUAAUCCAAGAAUACUGCUUGCUCAUGUCGUAUGCAAUCGCACAAAUGAGCAUUGUCGUACACAGCACUGAUUUAUAUUAGCCUUGAGGGAGAUAAACAGUACAGAGUUCUCCAGGUAAAAUACCCGUACGUAGUCGUCCAUAUUCGGGAUCACUGUAUGGUGCCACAUCUACUAACAUAUAUCCAUAUUUUCUUGAUUACAUGACAUCUUGAUAUGACUCGGCAAAGUACUUAGACUGACCGGUAAAUAGCUGUGAAGCAAAAAUCUUAUAUUCAUGCGCUGAUCGCGCAUUAGCCAUUAACACAAACAAAUGGGUAUUUAAACUCAUGGUUCGAGAACACUUUCCUUUAGGGUAAAGACUUUGUUGUAAACUAAUGCAUGUAAUACCCAAAUGAUUUGAAAGAGUAGAAUAAACUUUCAACACGAGCUCACUGUUACACACUUUCAUCAUCAGAUCGUCCAAGACCAACACCAUAUGGUUCUGAGCCUCGUCUGCCCACGUGUACAGCUCUUCCUGUGUUGGUAGUCCCUCGUAAAACAGUAUGUUAGGAACGGAGUGUUGCAUGUCUGUGUACACAUCCUGCCAUACCACGUAACAAUACACAAUGCAUUUAGGUGUUACAUCAAACAGAAACUUGACAUUCUCCAAAAGACGCUUUGUAAAAAACGUUUUCCCGCUGCCACUUCCACCUACUAUCGUAAUUGUUGUAGGGGUCGUUAUCUUUAUCAAACAUUCUUGUUCGGCCAUGGUUUUGAAUGAGACGUUAUAUCUACUAGUGACGUCAAUUAAACAUAAUGUUUAUGAUAAUUAAUCUAUAUACCAUACAUAAUUGUUAGGUCUAUCGCAUACAUGUCUUGAAUAACGUUGAUUUCCUAUGCAAAAGAAUAUUUCAUAACACCUAUAAAUAAACCCUUUUAAAACCAAUAACACAUUUAUAAAUACAACCUUUCAAAGCCACUUUAUUUUUAAAAAACGCACUUUUCCAGUGACCCCAUCGCACCCGACAAAAAAGGCGGACGUUCCCGCCAAAAAAUUUGAAAUAAAUGCCAACUAACACAAUAGGUGCACUUCGUUUGUUAAAAAAUCCAUUGUACGCUCCACUGAACUGGAAAACCCCAUUAACCGCUUCACUGAACCGGAAAAUCAAAUUAUGCGCUUCACUAAACCGGAAAGACAAUAGGUGCACACCCAUUGUUCCGGAGGCGGAGGCCAUUGUUCCGGAGGUGCAUAUCCAUUGUACUGGAGGCGUUUCCAUUGUAUUCCCAUUGUUGUCCCCGCUACGUAUAAAAUAUGCUACUCGGGUUCCCGGAAACAUAAUAUUUUCUUAGGCCUUAAUUAUGUAAACAGACAGACAAACAGAUAAGUUAUUAACAUCUCACCUUACGUAAAUCACACAUUUACAAAAUAAAACAACCAUAAAAGUGCACAAACUAUUCCUUUUUUUCUUUUUUUUUCUUUGUUCAGUUUUUGUUUGUUUGUAUAAAUACUGUAUUCAUAUAUACUAAAAUAUUUUGCGACAUAAUAAAAUAUGUUUAUUAGUAAUUAAAACAUAUCUGGGUGCUUAAAACCAAAUGUUCAUCGUGUGUGAGAGAGAGAGAGAGAGAGAGAGAGAGAGAGAGAGAGAGAGAGAGAGAGAGAGAGAGAGAGAGAGAGAGAGAGAGAGAGAGAGAGAGAGAGAGAGAGAGAGAGAGAGAGAGAGA